GAUGAACGCUGGCGGCGUGCCUAAUACAUGCAAGUCGAGCGAACGGACGAGAAGCUUGCUUCUCUGAUGUUAGCGGCGGACGGGUGAGUAACACGUGGAUAACCUACCUAUAAGACUGGGAUAACUUCGGGAAACCGGAGCUAAUACCGGUUAAUAUUUUGAACCGCAUGGUUCAAAAGUGAAAGACGUUCUUGCUGUCACUUAUAGAUUGAUCCGCGCUGCAUUAGCUAGUUGGUAAGGUAACGGCUUAACAAGGCAACGAUGCAUAGCCGACCUGAGAGGGUGAUCGGCCAAACUGGAACUGAGACACGGUCCAGACGACUACGGGAGGCAGCAGUAGGGAAUCUUCCGCAAUGGGCGAAAGCCUGACGGAGCAACGCCGCGUGAGUGAUGAAGGUCUUCGGAUCGUAAAAAUCUGUUAUUAGGGAAGAAAAUAUGUGUAAGUAACUGUGCACAUCUUGACGGUACCUAAUCAGAAAGCCACGGCUAACUACGUG
rnacentral:rRNA from 1 species